rnacentral:rRNA from 1 species
UUCGCCCUUUCCGGUUGAUCCUGCCGGACCCGACUGCUAUCAGAGUGGGACUAAGCCAUACGAGUCGACGUAGCAAUACGUGGCGAACGGCUCAGUAACACGUAGUCAACAUGCCCAGGGGACGUGGAUAAUCUCGGGAAACUGAGAAUAAACCACGAUAGGUCACGAUUUCUGGAAUGGAUCUUGGCUUAAAUCUACAUGGCCCCUGGAUUGGACUGCGGCCGAUCAGGCUGUUGGUGAGGUAAUGGCCCACCAAACCUAUAACCGGUACGGGCUCUGAGAGGAGGAGCCCGGAGAUGGGCACUGAGACAAGGGCCCAGGCCCUAUGGGGCGCAGCAGGCGCGAAACCUCUGCAAUAGGCGAAAGCCUGACAGGGUUACUCUGAGUGAUUUCCGCUAAGGGGAUCUUUUGGCACCUCUAAAAAUGGUGCAGAAUAAGGGGUGGGCAAGUCUGGUGUCAGCCGCCGCGGUAAUACCAGCACCCCGAGUGGUCGGGACGAUUAUUGGGCCUAAAGCAUCCGUAGCCGGUUCUGCAAGUCUUCCGUUAAAUCCAGCCGCUCAACGGAUGGGCCGCGGAGGAUACUAUAGGACUAGGAGGCGGGAGAGGCAAGCGGUACUCAGUGGGUAGGGGUAAAAUCCUUUGAUCCAUUGAAGACCACCAGUGG